CCCUGGGCCCUGCCUAUCUCUGAAGGGCUCUUCCAGUUCCUAAGCUCUCCACAGGCUAGGCCAGGCGUUAGGGCAGCUGGGACCGGGAGGAGGAACGCCUAUUCUCUUCCUACUCCAAGGAAGAUCAGUAGCUCAGAAUCUCAGAACAGAGGGUUCUCAGACCUAAGUGUGGUGAGCAGACGAUGCAGACAGUGCGAGGAGUCAGCAGAGGAAUUGUGGAAACAGGUUGGAAAGUGGCAAGCACAGGAGAGAUUACAGCGUCUCUCUCUCUCUCUCUCUCGGGAUCCCUGGCCUUGGUAGUGUGGGGUCCCUAUUCCCUAGAUUCCUCUACUACUGGGGUCUCUAAAAGAAGCCAAGGACAGAUUGGGAAAGGAGAGUGGGGAAGGGGACCCUUAGGGUUUUCUCCCGGGUUUGUGCGCCGCGCCGCCCCGCGGCCGGUCCGCGCGACUGCAGAAGUACUUGGUGACCCGGCGGCGGCACUGCUCGCAGCGGACCGCGCAGCACCAGUGGAACUUGCAGUUGCAGCUGGACACGGUCUCGGCGCGGCGCUCCUCCACCGCUAGCCCACAGUCCCCACAGAGCCGACGGCAGCUUCGGCGCUCCCAGCGGCCCAGGGCCCGGCCGCGCCGCAGGCACUCUCUGCCUUCGGUGCCCAGCAGUCCUAGAGUUUUGUUCUCCAGGCAGUAGUCUGGGGAGUCCUCCAGGUGCACCAGCUCCCUCGUGGAGAUGGAGCGAAAGGUGUCUGCGAUGGCGCCGCGGCCCGCCGCGCUGUUGCCAGCACCCUGCAGCAGGUCCACCUUGAGAGCUGCGUGGUACUUCUCUUUCAGGUGCGCGCCCACCUCUCGGAACUCAGGCAGCUGCAGCCAGCAGGUCUGCGUGGUGCAGCUGCCAGACACGCCGUGGCACUUACACGUGCGUUUCAUGGUGCCCUUCACCGCCUGGGAAGAGAGCUAGGAGUGAGCGGGCCAGGGAUUAAGCGCCUGGGGAGUGUCACCCUCUGGCGGGUUGCGAGGAUUCUAGCUAGUCUACGUGGCCAGCCGCCUCGAUGCCGCGAUUCCCCAAUCUGAUGAAUGAAUUGAAGAGCCGUCCGCACCUAGGGCUGGUAGUGGAUGGAGCCAGCUGCCUGACCCCAGGGGCUGCAGGACUCACCUUGCGGCCAGCCUCGUUGUUGUGCAGGUUCAUGGCUGCCCGAGCAUCCUGUCCUGUCUCCAGGGCAUCGACGAACUGCUUGGAUAUUGCCUCUCCGAAGCCCACGUUGUCGCUGCAGCCUCCCCACAGCCAGCCUUGACCCCCUGGAAAAAAGGCAGUGGGAAGAAAGGACGGCCCGGAGCCUCCUGGGCUGCUGGUUCUAACUUCAGCCAAUCCCGUGCCCAGGACUCCAGGACAUGAGUAGCUGCCAAGUGAGACAGGUGCCUGCUCACCCUGUUACUAUGUUUCUGGCCUUUGGGCAGAGUGUGCAGACCUCCGCCAGCGACUGACGCCUGGAAGGGACAUAAUGGUGCAACAAAGUUACUUCCUCCACUGAAGUCUUGAACUCUACAAAGUCAUCCAUGAAGAUUGGAAUCAACUUCUUCCAAACCACUGUUAACGUUGAUCUUUUGACCUCUUCCCAUGAAUCAUGAAUGUUCUUAAUUAUCUAGAAUGGUGAGUCCUUUUCGGAAGGUUCUCAAUUAACUUU